rnacentral:lncRNA from 1 species
GCAAAACAUAAAGCAUAUAGUCUUUGAAGUAAGACACUCAGAAAAUAUAAUCCACAAAAAGUAUUCUUCCUUGAUGAGUUGAACGAAUGAGAUAAUUCUGUACAUACUACCUAGCAAGAGUAUCAUAAUUCUAGUAAAAUUGUAUAAGGCUUUUAUAUACAUCUAAUAAAUAUUCAAGUUGUAAAUACAUUUAGUAUCUCAGAUCCAGAAGUUAAUCAGUCGUAUUGGAACCAAGAAGGAUUCACAGGAGACCAGAGAUAAGGUGUAAGUAUUUAUAAAAAGUAAAAUAACAAAAAUACUGUACUCCGAGGAAAAUUUAAAACGGAAAGUAACUAAUCAAAUGGCAAAAUCAAAUGAUAAAACACAUCAAACGAAUGGACAACAACUGUCAUAUUCGUGACUUGGUACAGGCAUUCUUAAAUGUAGAAAAUGGUGUAUUGAACCUGGUUUUAUAGUUUUAUAGUUAAAUCUCAUGUUAUUUCAAGUUUGUUUUAUAUCAAUACAGACAGGAAAAGGAAGUAUAUAAAACAUGUUACAAACAUCCAGAAUGGUUUAUGCAGGAAAUAAAUGUUAUUGAAAGGAAGGGGACCAGUGGGUUUAAUUAAUUAUCGACAAGAACAUAAUGAAGUUAAAAGAGAAUAACAGCGAGAACUAAAUAACAACUAAUAGUUUAAGAUAUUUAAUAAUUAAAGAACAAUAACGGGUUUUUCAAUUUAAAAAAAUAUAUAAAAAUAAAAAAUAAAUAGGCAACUCAGUUGAGAAUACAACUUGUAAUAAAAGAAAACAACAAAUGUACAAACUAGAUAGGAUAUGUCACUUCCUACAAUAAUAUGAAUAAAGCGAUACUUUACAUAGUAUACGUUUAAGAAAAGGAAAGUGACCAGGGGCCUGUUUAUCGAAACUGUCCUAAGUUCUGUCCUAAGAAUUUCUUAGGACAGAAUUUAGGAUAAAGUUAGGACAACGUACGACACGUCUCAGCAUGCACAUCGAAGCUAUCUUAGGAAUAUCUUAGCUAGGACCUCCUAACCGAUGUCCUAAGUGUUGGCGGAAAAGAAAAUACAAAUUAGAUAUGAAAAAUUACAAUAUGAUAUCAUAUUUUAUCAAUAAUUUUGUUUUUUCAAAUAUAGUUAAUUAGAAACUAAUUAUUGGUGUUACAAUAAAGAUAAUAAAUGAUUAUUGUAUAAUAUUUGUACAUUUAAACUGUAAAAAACAAAACAUAAGACAAAAAUAAUAACUACGUAUUAUAUAAGAAUUUAACAAACUAAUUGUAAACUAGGUAUAUAAUCGGUAAAAAUCAUUACAUGUUUUUGAGCGAGUUGAAUUCGAAAUGUCAAGGUUUCAAUAUUUAACAGUCCAAAGACAAAUCUCGUGCAUUUUUCAUAUAAAUCUGGAGUAUUUCAACUAUUUUACUACUAGUAAAAACAACAAUACGUGUGAACAUGAUCAAAAGGCGAAAUUGAAUAUAUCCUAAAGUUAGGACCAUCCUAAGACCAUCUUAAGACACCUAAAUUGAUAUCCUAAAGUUAGGACAAUUCUUAGGAUUUUCCCUAAGUUGAGACAUGUUUGAUCAACCCACGUAGGACUAAGAUGUGUCCUAAGUUGGUCUUAGGACACGUCCUAAUCCUAAGAGAGCUUCGAUAAACAGGCCCCUGGUGUUUUAUUUGAAUUUUUCCUGUUUAUAAAUAACGUUGACAUUUAUCACACUCAUUAUUUUUCUUACGUUUAUAAAUGUGACUUACGCUUUUAGGCAUCAGUUAACUCACUAUACCAAUCAGCUGGCAAAAGAAACUACUGCAAAUCUAAAAACAUUUUCUCGGUUAAAGGUACACCCUUCAGACGAGGUAAAUAUAAAGUUUUUAACAAAAAUGUUAUCCCUUUGAACAGCUUUGUGCAGAUCUACCCUAAAACAGAUUAUAACAGUUACACAUCAGUACGGGGAAGGACGUUUUAGGGGAGAAUAUGAUAUUCUGAAAGUUCCACUCUAGAACAUUAAUGAACUGUUUAUUCCCUAGAACAAUUUACAAUGGUCGAUCUGUCCAAGGAUCAAAUAGUGUAGAUCAUCAAGAUGUUCUAAUAUACAUAUUUCUAUAACACUGAAUACUCUUCUUUCUGCAGUAAAAGGUGAUCUUCAAAAAUAUUGUGUUGAGAUAUAUUUAACCAGUGUUAUCAAUCAGAUGUGGAUUCUUCAAAAGUCUACUGCUAAAUCUUACACCUUAAUCUUUGCAAUUUUGCAGCAUCAUUACGUUUAAGACCUUUCAAUUUUUUACACUUAACACUACUAUUCCCAGUGUUUAAUUGAAAGAUCGACUUCACCAUAUAAUUAAACAAAACUUAUUCUAUGAAAAUGGGAGCCGUAGAUAUGAUUUUCUUGUUUUGGGUUAUAAUAAUUCUUAUUUUGCACCCCUUCUUGUCAAUUUGUGUUUGUAAAAUGAAGCAGAUUUUUUUCAUAACCUUUUUAAAGACAAAAAGUAAAAGCUCCUUACGAUUUUUUUCUUCUCUCAUAUAUACUGAUGAUGUCCUAUCACUCAAUAACCCAUAUUUCAGUAUUUAAUAUUCUUGUCAUGGGUAGAACAUACAUAAACUAAACUAACACCAUUUUCAACUCAAUCACAGUUUAAUAUUCUUGAACGUGUCAAUAAAACAAUUCUUUUUUAUUUAUUGAAAUUUAUCUGUGAUAAUUUUAACGUCACAAAAACUGCGUCACUUUUUGUGGCGUUGAUACAUUCAUGUGACUCACAGAUCAUACUUUGUUUGGGUGUCCUUGUGCGAUGUCAUAAAUUUAUUGGAGGUGUCUAUUGUUUAUAUUCUGUGGUUUACAUAUUGUAAUGUACUAUAAAAUUAUUCAUUGAUGUAUUUCUCUGUCCUGAGUAUUCUUGCGUUUAUUUGUACUAUAUUCCUGUAACGUAUUGUCAUUUUAGGUAUAUUUUUACAUUCCUUUAUAAGCGGGUGGUUUGGCUAGCUAUUAAUCCAGGUUCAACCCAUCAUUUUGUCUUCAAAUGUCAUCUACUAAGACAAUGGUAUGGCAGUUGUUAUCAUAUAGCUCGUUUCUAUGUAUUUUUGCGUCAGUUUUUGUUGCAGUUUAUUUUUUCUUUGGUUCCAUUAUUUUCUUCUUAUAGUUCCUGUGUUCCCUUCGAUUUUAGUUUGUAAUCAAGAUUCGCUUAAUCGAUAUAUGACCAUUGAAGACCGUUUUACUACUGUUGCUUUUACUUAGAAUAGUUCUAUGACAUUAUUUUCAUUAAGUUCUGAAGAGAGUUUAGAACUGAUAUCGAAUGAAAGGUAGUUACAUUCGUUUGAAAUGCAUUCGUCCCUGUCUUUUAUUUGUUACAUUCCUAAUUACAGUUAAAACAAAACAAUACUUGGUUUCGAAGGUCACAGUUCAAAAGAUUAAUAACAAAUCAAAUUUAUGAACAUGAAUACAUAACGCGUGCGCAUCUGCAUUCAUAACACAACCGGAAAAUAGAUUUGUUUUAAAUACGGCGAGCUCUGUUGUUAUGCUGCUGUAACUCUCUCAUUUUGAAGUCUAACAUAAAUUGAUUGGCAAAUACAAAUUAACCUUCCUUGUUUUCAGUUAAAACUUAAAAUUCAAAGUGAUAGGUAUGCAGAAAAAUUCAGUAAUGCAGUUAAAAGUUUCCAAGCUUCACAGAGAACUGCUGCACGAAAGGAACGAGCGAGUAUAGCAAGAGCAAGAGCACAUUCGCCAUCAUUUAAGGUGUUAAUACAGGUCAGUAAUCGUUUACUCGUAUAAAUUGUUUUACAUUGUGACAUGCUGCAUACAUAAACGUCAUUUUGGUCUCUGAUGGACGGUUUACUCAUUUGGCAAUGCUAACACAUCUGUCUUUUUGUUUUAUUAGAAGAUCUAUUAAAAUGUGAUAUCUAUAUACAGAUAUGUAGCGUACUGUAUGCUUUAUUUCUCACAUCAGGCAAGUUAAUAAUUAGAAAAAACCUUCACGUAAAAUUGUGUGAUUAACAUCCGAUAAUGUCAGGUAUUUUAAACUAACAGCAAUUUUCCUUUGUUGUAGUGCUGUUUUAAAAUUCUUUGUUGUCAAUAAUCUAUCAACUCCUCAAAAAUUAAAUACAGUGCAUCAUCUCUGAAUCGGAACUAGACAUUUCACGUAAGAAUUUUUUGAUUUAUGUGAGAAUGUGAAUAAUUUGAAUUUAAAAAAAAGCAAAAUCAGUGCCCCUUGAGAUGCAAGCGAAAUGUUGCUUAUAUAUAUAUAAGCUGUAAAAUGUUUUAUUCCUCUUUCUCCUUUGUAAAUGUGCAAAUACCAUCUAUCUUUGUUCUUUAAAAUUUUGAAUUCCAUAAAGGAUAAACGCAUAUAAACAAUUAUUACAGCCUGUUUAGCAUUGGUAUGUUAUGAGGUUAUAUUAGUUAAGGGUACUCUAUGUUCAUAUUGUGUUCACAGUAUAUUACAUAUCUGAGAAAUAAUUGAAGUACAGUCCAAUGAGACUUUUUAUGUUAAAUACCAGGUAAUCCUUAUUCCAUUUCUUGCUUUGUAUUUUCUAAUCACUUAUAAUUUAUCUCUUUAAUUCCAGUCUCCUUUUGAAGAUGUACCUAAAGAAAAAGUCCCGUCUGUUAAACGACAAAGGUAAGUUGUUUUAACCGGUGUUUUUUUAACUCGUGUUAACAGUAGAUCUUUAAAAACUGUUUUCAUGGAAAUAAGUAUACCAUAUUUUUAAAUAAGCGCUAUCACGGUAGGUAUAGUGUCCGGCUAGUAUCGUGGUUUUUCGAGUGAUUUUGUCCAUUUUAUUCGAGUCUAGUUCGGGCCUUUUUCGAGUGUUAAAACAUGCGAUAAGUUCAAUUAACGGAUAUUUCGGAAUUAUAACAGUUUUUAACAUUACUUCCCAUCUUAUAUUGAAUACUAUAUAUGUUUUGAUCAACAAAGAAGCUCAAUUUCCCUGUAUUUAAUGAAAAAAAAUCUGUGUUUGUUAUUGUCCGAUUUUUUUCGAGAGCAAACAGAAAAUUUGAAGGUAUUCGAGACUUUAAAAAAUGACUUUUUCUAGUUUAUCACUGUAAUUAAGUGAAGGACAAUACCAUAUAUUCCCAAUAAGUCAUCAAAAACAUAUCAAAAUGAUUUUUUUUCUUCAAUUUAAUGCAAAUAUUCUGUUUGGAGACGUUAUACAACUACUUUCGAGUGCUCAUUUAGAAAUAACUUGAUCCUUAACAAAACGGUGUCUAGAACAGUAUGCAGGGAACUCAUAUUCAUUUCAACUUCAUUUCAUGCCACUUUUGAUUUUACAUGCAGUUUAUAAUAAUAACUCCGGAGAUUAAUAAAAGAAAUCUAUUAAUUAAAAAAACCAUAAAAAAACACACACACUUUAUCCACCCCAUUUUUAUUGCCAUUUAACACAAAAUUAGAAUAAAAUUUCAGAUAAAAUCAACAAUGAAAUGAAUAGUUCAUUAGCCUAAAUAUGAUCCUUUAGCAAUGAUAGACAAAUACAAAGGUGUAUAUUAUUUGCUAUCCCCAGCUAGAUUGUCCAGUGUUUCGGACGACACCAGGAACAACAUUGUAAUGUCUUGAUUAAUAUUCAUAUUUUCCACUUUUGAGACACUUUUCUUUUAUUAAAAGGAAGUUAUCAUAGUGUUUAGUUGCUGUAUGACCAAUUAUUAUAUUUGCAGAAUUAGACUCCUCACAGUUGUAGCAUUAAGAUAAUGAAAAAUCUAAGAUGUAUGUUCUUUUAAGAACAAACAUAUAUCUCAUCUUAUACAAUAUAUCUAUGUACGUCUCAAUUCGAAUUGUCUAUGCGUAUGUUCCGGACCAUACGCGUAUGGUCACGACCAUAUGCGUAUACUCAUAUGGUCAAACUGUACGCGUAUGGUUGGACCAUAUAUGAUAUAUAUAGGAAGAUGUAUGAAUGCCAAUGAAACAACUCUCUCCUUCAAAUAACAAUUUAUAAAAGUAAACCAUUAUAGGUCAAGGUACGGCCUUCAACACGGGGCCUUGGCUCAAACCGAACAACAAGCUAUAGAGGGCCCUCAAAAUAACUAGUUCAAAACCAUUCAAACGGGAAAACUAACAGUUUGAGGGUGGGUUGGGGUAGAAAAAAGGAAAAUAUUAAACGAAAGAUACAUUAUGUUACUUGGCGAAAAAAGUAAUAAGUGGCAAAAUAUAUAUUUGUUUUGCGAAAUAGGUGGCGAAAAAAUAAUUGCCCAAGGGGAAACCCAAUUUGGGAUCAUAUAAGUAUACAUUAGAAACGAUUCAAUAACACAAUAAACUUAUCUAUACCAAUGACGGUUACAUGAAAUGUAUCAACUUUAUAGUUCAAUGGCUUCCCAAAACAGCACAAGUUACAAGUUGAAACCCAUUGUCUUUCAAUUAAUUGUCUUAAGUUGUGUGUAUCUGUUUUCUGUCCAUCUCUAGUGUCAAUUGUAAGACUCUUCAUCAUAUCGAUUUUUUUGUCAGUUAGUAAACUAGUUGAACUCUUGUUAAACAGUUCAUUCAGACAUUUUUUGAAGUUAUCUUCCAAGUCGACAUUUUGUUGUUCAGUAAUAGUUAUCCCAUGAGGUCCAAUUACUUAUAUGGUGCCGAACACUCACAUUAGAUUGUUGACAUCACGGAUAUAUACUGUACAUGCAAUUUAUAAGAUGUGAGAAAAAGAAUAUAUACAAAUGAACGAUACUUGUUUCAUGAUAAAAGUGUUGAUACACCAUGUGCCUUGAAAGUAUUCAAUUUGAUCCUUUAUUUUAUAGUUUUUAAACGUAAACACAUAACGAAAUGUGUAUAUCACUCGCUAAAAAAAGGACACACUCGAAAAAGCCCGGACAUGAAAAACUGAAUUUAGUCACAAAAAGUCGUUUUCAAUGCAAUAACAAUAGUUUUUGCAAAGUGUCUGUAUAUCUAAGUAUAUCCGUCGACAUUUGUAUUGGUAUGUGUAAGAAAAUGACUUUAUUAUUUUGGAAUAAAAGCAUUUUAAGGCUAAAUUUAACUUUUUUUUAACGAAAAGCAAUGUCGGAAUGAUACUAUCUUUAUAUCUAAAAUACUAGCAUAUCAUGUAUAACCUUGUAUAUCAAACUCAAGCUUCUAUAUCACGCUUUGUUAGAAAAGAAGUCUGUUUGUUUACAUUUUUGAUCAUAUUCACUCGAAAAAAAAGUAGUCGCACUCGAAAAAGCCCGAUCAAAUCACUCGAAAAACCACGAUCCUAGCCGGACACCAUAUCUACCGUGGCUAUUAUGAAGAUUUUGUUGAAAUCAAAUAGAAAACUUCACGUUGUAAUUAAAAGCAAUGCAUAUAUCAAAUGUAGAUCAAUUUUCGAAGCAAAAAGUUAAAGAUAUGCUUUGAUUUUCUACUCAGGCUGUCAAAGAUGGAACAAAAUGUUGAUUUGGAAACUAUUCUCGAAAGAGAGAAUGCAAUAAAAGAAUUAGAGGUUUGUAUUAACUUUAUAAAUGAGAUAAAUCCUUACUAUUUGAUAUCAUUAAUAUCAAUAAAAAAAAAUGUUCUCGUUAAAAAGACAUAGCGGUACAUACCCUUUAAUUUUGACUUGAAGGGGUAUUUGUGAUUUCUAUGCUGUUCGUUAAAGCAAUAUCAGUCUAGGUUUAAGAAAAAAUUGACUUGAUACGGAUUUGAGAAUUCUUUUCAAGUCUUUUUGGUCUUGUAUGUCCCCAAGUAACUGAGUAUCCCGGCUUUCAAAUGUUUUGGUUUGAGCGUUUCAAAAGAUGGUCAAUCUAGAAAAGAGCCUCCGACACACUAUCAAAAUGCUGCCACAUACCAGAGUCAGGAAUAUGACAGUUGGUAUCCAUUCGUUUGAUGUGUUUGAGCUUUUGAUUUUGCCAUUUUUUUACGGACUUUCCGUUAUGAAUUUUCCUAGGAGGUCAGUAUUUUUGUGAUUUUUAUAUUUGAUUAGAUAUAAUUAAAAGAUGAACCACAAAAAACAAAUAUCAUUUAGAUAAUUAAGAUAAUUGUAGUUCCUAAUUUUUGAUAAACAAAUGAAUGACUCUAACGUUUCUACUCAGUAUUUUGUUUUCUUUUUUAAAACUGUCCUGUACCAAGUCAGGUAUAUGGCCAUUGUUAUAUUAUAGUUCGUCUCAAUUUAACGUUGCGUCGUUUGUUUUCUCUUAUUUUUGAGUGUAAAUUGACAUUGCGAUAAGACGUGUCACGCUACUUGUCUAUCCCAAAUUCUUGUAUUUGGUUUUGAUGUUAUAUUUGUUAUUCUCGUGGGAUUUUGUCUGAUGCUUGGUCCGUUUCUGUGUGUGUUACAUUGUAGUGUUGUGUCGUUGUUCUCUUAUAUUUAUGCGUUUCCCUCAGUUUUAGUUUGUUACCCCGAUUUUGUUUUUUGUCCAUGGAUUUAUGAGUUUGAACAGCGGUAUACUACUGUUGCCUUUAUUUACAAGUACAUUUAUCACGUUACUAAUUCCAGCAUGACAUCACAGAAAUAAAUGAGAUCUUCAAGGAACUUGGUGCGAUGGUACAUGAACAAGGGGAAGUUAUAAGUAAGUUUAAGACUUUUAUUCGGAUGGAAAACUAUUGUUUAGUCAAUUACGUAAUUGUUUUCUGUAAUGCUGUUUAUUAACGAAUCAGUGCUGUCAAAAAAGAACCGUAACCGAACUUUUACAUUUAAUAUAGCAUUUCAAGAUAAGAUAAAUCUUUUUUUUUAAAUAUUUCUUAAGAAAAGAUUUUUUAAGAUGUUAUUUUUCUAUAUUCAAAUUAUCUCCCCAUCAGAUACGAUAGAUGACAAUGUAGACACAGCAGUUAUACAUAUACAAGAAGCAAAACAAGACCUAGCAACAGCUGUGUCCAUCCAGGUAUGUCUCUGUAAAGUUAUCUUAUACGGGCGUGCUAUGAAUUCAAUAUACAUCUGCUUAUUAAUAUGUUUUAUAAUUGAUUCUAAAUUAAUUCAAUUGUGUACAAUUUACCAAAUUGUAAAGAACAAUAUAUUUUAAAAAUCCUUCCAAGAUUUAAAAAAAAUUAAGAUUGAUUUUCUCUAGUACAUCAUUAUAUGUUAUGUGUUUUAGUUAUUAUGUAAUUUUAAAAUUCCCUGUAUAUGAUUGAAAACACAAUCGUUUGUAGUUUUGUUUCGGAGUGUUUAUACUGUAUGUCACGGUCUUAAUCGUUUUCCUUCUUAGUUCUUUUUUUGUUCAUUUAAUGAGUUCUUUUAUCUAUUUCAGGAAAAAGUGAGAAGUAAAAAAUGCCUAUGUUUGGUUGUUCUGAUUGUUGGAGUAGUGGUUAUUAUUGCAAUACUAUUACCAGUACUUCUAUCUAUAAACAAUUGAUAAGGUAGGCUUGCAAUACUAUUACCGGUACUUCUAUCUAUAAACAAUUGAUAAGGUAGGCUUGCAUAUCUAUAAACAAUUGAUAAGGUAGGCUUGUAAUACUAUUACCGGUACUUCUUUCUAUAAACAAUUGAUAAGGUAGGCUUACAAUAUUAUGACCGGUACUUCUAUCUAUAAACAAUUGAUAAGGUAGGCUCGCAACACCUUCUACUUACUAUCAAAUUUUGAGAACACAGAUUUUGAUUAAGGAUUUUUUUUAAAUAGGAUGCAUCAUUCAUAUCGUUUAUAAUUGAAUUUUUCAAUCCCACAUGCAUUACACCAGGGUUUCCUCUCUUUUGGAAUACACGUCAAACUCAGACUUUAUCACGUAUGACAACAAUAUGUACACGUCAAGCCUAACACUAAAAUGAUAGGUUAAUCAAUGAUGCUUAUUUAAAAGAUGGACUCCAAAGUCAAAUAACACAAAUCAAAGAAAAGAGACCAUCAGAAGACAGAGACGUAUACAGUUGGUGGUUUUCUCAGGAAACACAUCAAUGCCCUGCUUCAUAUUGAAUACAAGCUACACAAUAAGACACAUUGAGAUUUUAAAAUAAUUUGACUGCAAAAUUUCUUGGUAGUGAUUUUUUGUUUAUGAAACGGCGAGUUAUGGUGGCUGGAGAUUAUGUAAACAUACUUUAUUUUUGUUUGAUACAAUGGUAAUGUAUUAUUCGAAAUAUUAAGGAUUUUUUUAUCCCAGGCAUAGAUUACCUCAGCCGUAUUGGGCACAACUGGAAUUUUUAGUUCUCAAUGCUCUUCAACUCUAUACUUGUUUGACUUUCAAACUAUUUUGAUUUGAGCGUCACUGAUGAGUCUUCUGUAGACGAAACGGGCGUCUGACGUAUUAAUUUAUAAGUCUGGUACCUUUGAUAACUAUUGAACUUCCCAAACUAUUUGUAACGAUUAAAAACUGGAUUUUUUUUGUAGAGGGAAAUUACAGAGUCAUGCAUGUGGUAUAGCAACACUUCUCCAUUGGUCACAAUAAGCUGGAAUUUUUUAAGAAAACCCUGGCAGACUAUGUCCUUUAUAUACAGCAGUACAGAAACAACUGAAUAGACAUUAUGAUUAACUAAACAUUCAACUUAAUAAAACGUGUCUCUCUUUCAUACCAAUUAUAUAUAGCUGUUUGAAACAAUGAUGAAGAUUCUCUUUUGUUUCAAAUAUAAUAAAUUACAUCAUGUAUAGC